AGAGUUUGAUCAUGGCUCAGAUUGAACGCUGGCGGCAGGCCUAACACAUGCAAGUCGAACGGUAGCACAGAGAGCUUGCUCUCGGGUGACGAGUGGCGGACGGGUGAGUAAUGUCUGGGAAACUGCCUGAUGGAGGGGGAUAACUACUGGAAACGGUAGCUAAUACCGCAUAACGUCUUCGGACCAAAGUGGGGGACCUUCGGGCCUCACACCAUCGGAUGUGCCCAGAUGGGAUUAGCUAGUAGGUGGGGUAAUGGCUCACCUAGGCGACGAUCCCUAGCUGGUCUGAGAGGAUGACCAGCCACACUGGAACUGAGACACGGUCCAGACUCCUACGGGAGGCAGCAGUGGGGAAUAUUGCACAAUGGGCGCAAGCCUGAUGCAGCCAUGCCGCGUGUAUGAAGAAGGCCUUCGGGUUGUAAAGUACUUUCAGCGGGGAGGAAGGCGAUAAGGUUAAUAACCUUGUCGAUUGACGUUACCCGCAGAAGAAGCACCGGCUAACUCCGUGCCAGCAGCCGCGGUAAUACGGAGGGUGCAAGCGUUAAUCGGAAUUACUGGGCGUAAAGCGCACGCAGGCGGUCUGUCAAGUCAGAUGUGAAAUCCCCGGGCUUAACCUGGGAACUGCAUUUGAAACUGGCAGGCUAGAGUCUUGUAGAGGGGGGUAGAAUUCCAGGUGUAGCGGUGAAAUGCGUAGAGAUCUGGAGGAAUACCGGUGGCGAAGGCGGCCCCCUGGACAAAGACUGACGCUCAGGUGCGAAAGCGUGGGGAGCAAACAGGAUUAGAUACCCCUGGUAGUCC
rnacentral:rRNA from 1 species